GCUGUUAAAUAUUAGGUCUAACCUGCUCAAUGAUUUAUAAUUAAAUAGCCGCAGUAUUUUGACUGUGCGAAGGUAGCAUAAUCACUUGUCUUUUAAUUGAAGGCUUGAAUGAAUGGUUGGAUGUGGGAAUGUCUUUCUUUAUAUUAUAAAAUUUAAUUUAAUUUUUAGGUUAAAAAGCUUAAAUAAUUAAGUGGGACGAGAAGACCCUAUAGAAUUUUAUUUUUUUUCUUCAUUAAAUAUUUUUUGUUUAUGAUUUUUUUAUUUAGAAGCAAAUUUUGUUGGGGUGACAUUGAGAUUUUUAUAACUCUCAUAUUUUAUUUGUUUAUUCAUUUUUAUAUUUAAAAUCCUGUAUUAUGGAAUUUAGAUUAAAUUACCUUAGGGAUAACAGCGUAAUUUUUUUGGAGAGUUCUUAUCGAUGGAAAAGUUUGCGACCUCGAUGUUGGAUUAAAAUUAGAUUUAAGUGCAGAAGCUUAAUUUUCUAGGUCUGUUCGACCUUUAAAUU
rnacentral:rRNA from 1 species